rnacentral:rRNA from 1 species
AUUGAACGCUGGCGGCAUGCCUUACACAUGCAAGUCGAACGGCAGCACGGGUGCUUGCACCUGGUGGCGAGUGGCGAACGGGUGAGUAAUACAUCGGAACGUACCUUAUCGUGGGGGAUAACGCAGCGAAAGGUGCGCUAAUACCGCAUACGCCCUGAGGGGGCAAGCGGGGGACCGUAAGGCCUCGCGCGGUGAGAGCGGCCGAUGUCUGAUUAGCUUGUUGGCGAGGUGAAAGCUCACCGAGGCGAUGAUCAGUAGCUGGUCUGAGAGGACGAUCAGCCACACUGGGACUGAGACACGGCCCAGACUCCUACGGGAGGCAGCAGUGGGGAAUUUUGGACAAUGGGGGCAACCCUGAUCCAGCAAUGCCGCGUGAGUGAAGAAGGCCUUCGGGUUGUAAAGCUCUUUUGUCAGGGAAGAAACAGCAGCUCUAACACAGUCUGCGAAUGACGGUACCUGAAGAAUAAGCACCGGCUAACUACGUGCCAGCCGCCGCGGUAA